rnacentral:rRNA from 1 species
UUCCGUAGGGUAACCUGCGGAGGGAUCAUUACACAAUUAAAAUAUGAAGGCUUCGGCUGGAUUAUUUUUAUCACCCUUGUCUUUUGCGCACUUGUUGUUUCCUGGGCGGGUUCGCCCGCCACCAGGACCACACCAUAAACCUUUUUUAUGCAGUUGCAAUCAGCGUCAGUAUAACAAAUGUAAAUCAUUUACAACUUUCAACAACGGAUCUCUUGGUUCUGGCAUCGAUGAAGAACGCAGCGAAAUGCGAUACGUAGUGUGAAUUGCAGAAUUCAGUGAAUCAUCGAAUCUUUGAACGCACAUUGCGCCCUUUGGUAUUCCAAAGGGCAUGCCUGUUCGAGCGGCAUUUGUACCCUCAAGCUUUGCUUGGUGUUGGGCGUCUUUUGUCUUUGGCCUCGCCCAAAGACUCGCCUUAAAACGAUUGGCAGCCGGCCUACUGGUUUCGCAGCGCAGCACAUUUUUGCGCUUCAAUCAGCACAAGGACGGCAAUCCAUCAAGACUACAUUUUUACGUUGACCUCGGGAUCAGGUUGGGA